rnacentral:rRNA from 1 species
CUCGUAGGCGGUUCGGUAAGUCGGGUGUGAAAACUCUGGGCUCAACCCAGGAUUGGCGCUCGAUACGGCGGAGCUCGAGUGUGGGAGAGGAUGGUGGAAUUCCCAGUGUAGAGGUGAAAUUCGUAGAGAUGUGGAGGAACACCGAUGGCGAAGGCAGCCCCCUGGGCUAACACUGACGCUCAGGCACGAAAGCGUGGGAGCAAACA